CCCUACUUAACCCCCUGCACCAAACAGCAGUAAAUGAGGCACGGACGGGUGUCUGGAGCACACCCCCCAGCAGAAGUAAAUCUGAGGGAAGAACACUGCUGUGAUUAUUGUUCCUCUUGCUCUGUAAAGAGGGGCAAAUAACAAAGCAGAUAUCUCAAAGGUCAUCUCUAGAGUACCAAAGAAAAAUGUGAAGCAGGUGGAAAAUGGAAAGAUGUUCUGAUGUGACUCUGACUGAAUCUGAAUGACACAGAUGAGGCCAGUUCUCUCCCACCUUGUUACAAUAAAUUGAGGUUCUUUGACCUUUUUCUUCAGAGCAGUUUCUGCCACAUGUGGGACUGCACCACUGUGGUCCAGAAUGGAUGGAGAAUUACAGCCAUUAUGAGUGGAAGGCUGAGCUAGGAUGGGUCAGCUGCUGCCUGGGUCACGAAGGGAAAUUUUCUUGUAUCAAAGUGGGAUUUUGACAAACUAUUUCAGGAAACAAUGGAGUCCACUAUAGCAACACGUUUUCAAACAGGCAAAAGUCUUUACACGGACUGUCAUAGAACUGACACAUACACACAUAGCAGUACUGCAUUGCAAAAUGUACCCCUCAUAAUUUGUCCAUCUUUAAAUUAAUGCCACCCUUUUAAAUCAUGUAAAGUCCCCUAUGUUAUAUUUUAAGUCCUCUGGAGUACAGUUCUCAAGAUGGGAAGGGGGGUUGUGCCAUUUUUAUAAAAAUGCUUAGUUUCUAGAUUGACUUUAAGCUGUGUGAUUAAAUCAAUGCUCCCCUGCCGUGUCACUUUGCAUCAUAUACUGUGCCCCCCGUUAUGCAGUUUUCUAGAUAUCACUUGAAAUCAGUCAGGUGGUAAAGUCACAAUACAGCUGCUAUAAUCCUCUAUUUCUUGCAAUGCACGUAACAUUUCCUUGUCCUAUAAUAUUGUAGUAAAACAAUUAUAUCAACUAUAAUAUUUUAUAAGUUAGUCAGAAAGCAUAGGAUUUGAACAAAGCCUUGAUUAAAUCUGUAACCCAUCUUGAAAGACUUUACACUCUAUCAUACCUUGACUCACCCUCUGGGGUAUUAGAAAGAGAAAAUUCAUUUCAUAAACACUAAUGUGUUGUCCUCAAUAGGACCGGUCAGCAUUUACAUACUUAAUUGAUGACUUUUAAAAAUAAAG